rnacentral:rRNA from 1 species
CUUUGGGAUAACCCUCGGAAACGGGGGCUAAUACCGAAUAGGACUUCUGGCCGCAUGGCUGGUGGUGGAAAGUUUUUCGGCUUGGGAUGGGCUCGCGGCCUAUCAGCUUGUUGGUGGGGUGAUGGCCUACCAAGGCGACGACGGGUAGCCGGCCUGAGAGGGCGACCGGCCACACUGGGACUGAGACACGGCCCAGACUCCUACGGGAGGCAGCAGUGGGGAAUAUUGCACAAUGGGCGGAAGCCUGAUGCAGCGACGCCGCGUGAGGGAUGACGGCCUUCGGGUUGUAAACCUCUUUCAGCAGGGACGAAGCGUAAGUGACGGUACCUGCAGAAGAAGCGCCGGCCAACCACGUGCCAGCAGCCGCGGUAAGACGUAGGGCGCGAGCGUUGUCCGGAUUUAUUGGGCGUAAAGAGCUCGUAGGCGGCUUGUCGCGUCGACCGUGAAAACCUGGGGCUCAACCCCAGGCCUGCGGUCGAUACGGGCAGGCUAGAGUUCGGUAGGGGAGACUGGAAUUCCUGGUGUAGCGGUGAAAUGCGCAGAUAUCAGGAGGAACACCGGUGGCGAAGGCGGGUCUCUGGGCCGAUACUGACGCUGAGGAGCGAAAGCGUGGGGAGCGAACAGGAUUAGAUACCCCUGGUAGUCCACGCUGUAAACGUUGGGCGC